rfam:TPA: Bos taurus chromosome 27, whole genome shotgun sequence.
UCCCUGGUGGCUCAGAGGGUAAAGCGUCUGCCUGCAAUGCGGGAGACCUGGGUUUGAUCCCUGGGUCGGGAA